rnacentral:misc_RNA from 1 species
ACAGUACCCAGUUUUCCAAUCAACUCAGCAGGAGAAGAAGAUACAAUCGAGUUCAAAGUUGAGUCAAAUUGAGGUGUUGAAUGAUCCCAGUUGGGGUUAAACAAAGAUUGCCCUGAAUGUAAGGGAUUCCAAGAAGGGAAUGACAUAGUAGGUUCAAACUGAAGGGCUGGAUUAGGGAUUCCUCCAUUGAUGAAGUAGUCUUUUUCCAUGGAAAAUGAAUGAUUAAAUUGAAGUUUAAAAAUAUUAAGAAGAAAA